CCGGGUAAUCAAGCUACAGUAACCUCUACAAAUGAUGCCACGUCACCUCGAUUACUGUUGAUUAAUCUCGGUUAGUUCAAAACCGAUUCAAAACUCAAAUUCAAAUUAAUGUCAACAAUAAAAGUUUUCAAAAGUUAAAACAAAAAAGUUCGGGAGGUGCCAUAUUUUGCAUAUGUAAAUAUGGUGCAAUAAACACAUUUUUAUAAAAUGCCUAGAUAUUUUAUAGUGGAUGGAAACAACAAAGCAAUAAAUAAAAAGAAAAGGAAACAAAAACAAAAGUUAAACAAAAGGAGAAGUAGACCCCCCCUCCACUGGGCCGAAUGGCCCACCUGGUCGACCCACUACCCCUGGCCUAUAUGGCCUGCCCACCACCAAACCCUAGCACCCCUCACCCCCACUCCCCGCCCCCCGCACGGUUCCCUCUCCCUCCCCCGAUCCCCUCCUGGAUCGGGAUCGAUCCCCGACGCCGCCGCACAAGGACCUCGACGGAGCAACCCCGUCGCCCCGUCGCCGAACCCCCCACGCCACCAUCACCUCCGACGCCGCCGCUCGGAGCUUGCCGUCCGUCUGCCUCCUCGACAGCCCGUCGUCCCCGUCCUCCUCCUCGAGCUCGAGCCCGCUGCCAUUUUCCCCACGAACGCCGGUGAGGCUCCGGCCUCCCUGCCUCUCUCCCCCUCGUUCUCUGUCGCCGGCGCCGUCCACCACGCGCCGACCGCGCUCGGCCCUACGCCUCGCCGUGGUCCUCCGCGCUCCCGUACACGCACGCCGUGUCCGCGUCUUUGUGCGCCCCGGCCUCCUCGCGCUGCACGCUCACGGCCCCGCUUGCGCCCAACACCACAUAGCUCGCGCGCCGCGCUCGGCCAUGCCCUGCUCCGCCCUGCACGACCACCACGCCCCGCUCGCAUCCCGUGACCUGCGUCACCGCGCGCGCACGCCGCUCGCCUCGCCCGUGCUGCUCACUGCGCGCUCGCCCGCUCCAUUGCCCGCUAUUGCUGCAGCGCUGCUGCCCCUGCUGCCUUCCCCACUGCCGCUACUGGCCUCGCCUUCGGCCACCGCCGACCCCUGCGCCGUCGCCGCCCACCGGCGAGCGUGCGCCCCGGCUCGCCGUGCCUUUCCCCCCUGUUGGUCGCGCCUGAGGCAGCGGACGGGCGCCUGCUGUGCCCGUUCGGGCUACGCCCGCACCUGUCCCCCGCUGCUACGCAGCGCCCGUUAAGGCCUCUGGGCCUAUGACAUAUGGGCCCCACCCCAGAACGGUUUAAAAAAGGGAAUUUUAAAGGGAUAAUUAGAUUUAUGCCUCUAGUUGUGUCUCACUCGGCUGUUUUGCCCCUAAUUUUCAAAAGUCACUGUUUCUGUCCAAGUCACUUUGCUCCUCUUAUGCUUUUGCCCUUUGACCUUUUGAUCGUCAGUUUGAAAACUUCAUAACUAAUUCAUACUAAAUCAGAAAAAUUGCAAAUAAGGUACCAAAAUGUUCGGAAAAAUAUCACCUAUAUGUCAGUGUCAUUUGCAUUCAUGAAAAAGGUGUUUGAAAGUGCCCAUCCGAGUUUUAGCUCUUAUGCUACCACCAUGAAUAGUAAAGUCUAAAAAAAUUCAAAAAAUUCAAAAAAAAUUGGUGGCAAAGAAUGAAUGUUUUAAGUGCUCGCCAAGCUUCGUCAGGGAAUAACAUGAUGGGUGCCCCAGCAGAAAAAACAAUCAGCACUCCAAAAUAGAUUAUUUGUUUGCCAUGACUUCCAUGAAUAUCGUUCCCUGAUGAAACUUGGCAAGCACUUAGAACAUUUGUCGUUCUUUGCCACCAUAUUUUUUUUGAAUUUUUUUAUAUUUUACUAUUCAUGGUGGUAUCAAAAGAGCUAAAAUUUGGAUGUGCACUUUCCAACACUUUUUUCAUGAAUGCAAAUGACACUGACAUAUAGGUGAUGUUUUUCCAAACAUUUUGGUAUCUUAUUUGCAUUUUUUUGAUUCAGUAUGAAUUAGUUAUGAAGUUUUCAAACUGGCAGUCAAACGAUCAAAGGGCAAAAUCAUAAGAGGAGCAAAGUGACUUGGACAGAACUGGUGACUUUGGAAAUUAGGGGUAAAACAGACGAGUGGGACACAACUAGGGGCAUAAAUCUAAUUAUCCCAAUUUUAAAAUAAUAAUAAUAAUAAAAUAAUAAUUAAUUAACUUAAUUAAUUCUGUAUUAGUUUAACCUAAUCAUUUUAGUUAACUAAUUAAGCCUAACUAAUUAACCUAAACCAUGAUUAACCUAAACAGUGUAUGACAGGUGGGUCCCACUAGACCCACACGUCAGUUUGACUAGUCAACACCUCUGUUGACUGCUGACGUCAUGCUCAUGUCAUCUCAUCAUGAUGACAUCAGCAUGCACUGUUGUGGAUAAUGUUGAAUUAAAUUAAUUAAAUAAAUUCUAAAAAUGAUUUAAAACUUUAGAAAAUCAUAUAAAAUAAACCGUAGCUCAGAUGAAAAUACUUUCUACAUGAAAGUUCCUCAGAACGACGAGACGAAUCUGGCUACGCACCCCGUUCGUCCGGCACACACCCCUAGCAUAUCGAACACGCAACUUUCCCCCUCCGGUUCAUCUUUCCGAAAACGCGAAACACCGGGGAUACUUUCCCGGAUGUUUCCCCCCUUCGCCGAUAUCACCUCCUACUGCAUCAGGUCACCUCUAGCACCGCGUAUUGCCUUGUUACGCUUUGUGAUGCUUUGAUUGCUCUGUUAUUUAUUGUGUUCCCCCUCCGUUACUUCUUUCCGGUAGACCCCGAGGCUGCCGGUGACCCCCAGUUCGACUACGGUGUUGACGACCCCUCCUUGCCAGAGCAACCAGGCAAGCCCCCCCCCUUGAUCACUAGAUAUCGCCUAUUCCUUCUCUCUACUGCUUGCAUUAGAGUAGUGUAGCAUGUUACUGCUUUUGGUUAAUCCUAUUCUGCUGCAUAGCCUGUCAUUGUUGCUACAAUUGUUGAUACCUUUACCUGCUAUCCUAAUGCUUAGUAUAGGAUGCUAGUGUUCCAUCAGUGGCCCGACACUCUUGUCCGUCUGCCAUGCUAUACUACUAGGCCGUGAUCACUUCGGGAGGUGAUCACGGGCAUAUGCUAUAUACUUUAUACUGUUAUAUUACGUAUGAUACUGUUUGGAGAUGGGGGCUGAAGGGGCAGGUGGGUCCAUCCCGGUAGAGGUGGGUCUGGGUUCCCGACGGCCCCCUACUGUUACUUUGUGGCGGAGCGACAGGGCAGGUUGAGACCACCUAGGAGAGAGGUGGGCCUGGCCCUCGUCAGCAUUCGCGGAUACUUAACACGCUUAACGAGAUCUUGGUAUUUGAUCUGAGUCUGGCCACUGGCCUAUACGCACUAACCAACUACGCGGGAACAGUUAUGGGCACUCGACGUCGUGGUAUCAGCCGAAGCCUUCAUGACGUCAGCGACUGAGCGGCGCGCGCCGGAUUGGGCUGGAACACCUACUAGGCUAGGUCUACUUCCGGCCGCCCACGCAACGUGCAGGUGUGCAAUGGGCGAUGGGCCCAGACCCCUGCGCCAUAGGAUUUAGACCGGUGUGCUGACCUCUCUGUUGUGCCUAGGUGGGGCUGCGACGUGUUGAUCUUCCGAGGCCGGGCAUGACCCAGGAAAGUGUGUCCGGCCAAUUGGGAUCGAGCGUGUUGGGUUAUGUGGUGCACCCCUGCAGGGAAGUUUAUCUAUUCGAAUAGGCGUGAUCUUCGGUAACAGGAUGACUUGGAGUUGUACCUUGACCUUAUGACAACUAGAACCGGAUACUUAAUAAAACACACCCUUCCAAGUGCCAGAUAUAACCCGGUGAUCGCUCUCUAACAGGGCAACGAGGAGGGGAUCGUCGGGUAGGUUUAUGCUAUGCGAUGCUACUUGGUGAACUUACCAUCUACUCUAUUCUACAUGCGGCAAGACGGAGGUGGCCUGAAGCGUAGUCUUCGACAAGAUUAGCUAUCCCCCUCUUAUUCUGGCUUUCUGCAGUUCAGUCCACCGAUAUUGCCCCUUUACACAGAUACCCAUGCAUAAGUAGUGUAGAUCCCUGCUUGCGAGUACUUUGGAUGAGUACUCACGGUUGCUUUUCUCCCUCUUUUCCCCCUUUCCAUUCUACCUGGUUGUCGCAACCAGAUGCUGGAGCCCAGGAGCCAGACGCCACCGUCGACGACGACUCUUACUACAUUGGAGGUGCCUACUACUACGUGCAGGCCACUGAUGACGACCAGGAGUAGUUUAGGAGGAUCCCAGGCAGGAGGCAUGCGCCUCUUUCGAUCUGUUUCCCAGUUUGUGCUAGCCUUCUUAAGGCAAACUUGCUUAACUUAUGUCUGUACUCAGAUAUUGUUGCUUCCGCUGACUCGUCUAUGAUCGAGCACUUGUAUUUGAGCCCUCGAGCCCCUGGCUUGUAUUAUGAUGCUUGUAUGACUUAUUUUAAUUUUAGAGUUGUGUUGUGAUAGCUUCCCGUGAGUCCCUGAUCUUGAUCGUACACGUUUGCGUGUAUGAUUGAAUCGGGGGCGUCACAAGUUGGUAUCAGAGCCGACUGCCUGUAGGAAUCCCCCUUCCACACUCCUUGGUCGAAGUCGAGUCUAGACAUUGCAAAACUUUUACUAACAUGGCUGUGCGGCUUACGGGCCCACGUCGCCAUUGGGUGGUAUUAGGAUCUUUUACUCCUCGAUCUUUACUCUGGGACUCUAAGCUCUCUUCUAUUCGGGUUAAAUGAUUUUGCUAAAAACAAAACUAACUUUAGGUUCUCGAAAGUACUUUCUCCCGGAGAGCCCCUCACUUCAGAUGAUCGCCUGCUGCACUAGAAGAUUCCGAAGUUACUCUAUGAUGUUCUCUCAAGUCUUUGUGCCAUCACAUUUGCGAUUUCCUUCCACCGCCAACCCCUAUGAAAACUGCAUACACUUUCCAUUCAUACAAUCAUUCCCCGUUGAUCUUGUUAUUACAAGAUGUCCCGAAAUACUCUCUGUUGUCCCGAGAAUCCUUUGAGCUCACUGCCUUGCAGUUCUUUACCACAUGAAUCCCCCUACGGAUAAUUCCUCACACUUAUCGAGUAUCCGUUCAUCCACAGUUGAUUCCUGUAUUUCACAAAAGUCUUCGAAAUACCAUUCGUUCUUCUAAAAAUCCUUGACAUCCUAAUGCUCUUGAAAUGCUUGCUUACUAGCAUUAUGAUUAAUCCCAUAAGUCUGGUAAUCUUAUUAGCAUCCUUUGUCAAUAUCAUUUUGAGUCCAUUGAUUCAAUAUGUUGCGUAUGCUCGCAAUCCUCAAUCAUAUGCUAGAAUGCAUCCUUCCCGCCCAGACGUCAUUUUAAACAUGAGCUAGAUCUCAACCAAUCAAAUUAUCGUCGGUUGUACCUCUAAGCUUACUCAAGUUAUCCAUCCUUAAUCAGAGCGUUUGCUUCUGAUCCCUUGAUUUGGAAAUCAUAAAGUCCUUUGCAUCUGAACUUUGAAUUAGUCAGUUGUUUCUAUAAUCCAGUGCCUUUGCAUUGUUUCUUCCUUUGGUUGUGCCGGUACUCACAUUAACACUGUUAUGGACCGUUAGAUACUUUGUUGGAUUUUAUCUGACAGCAUCCUUCAUAUUCAAUAAUCUUCUGAGCCGUCCGCGGAUACAUAAUGCCUUGGGUAAAUUGUAUCCUCUGCUUUCUCAACCUUGUCCUACUUUCGAGCUUGUAUUAUUUACUCUGAAGUUUGUGGUAUAUGUUCCUAAGAUGCCCCGAUGGGUUGAACCAAUGCCUUCCCAAAUCUGUGUGAGCCCGGAAGAUUUCACGGGUCAUACUUAUCUGGUAUUGCACCAGGUAGAACUUUUAACAACUAAUGUCAUUUUCGAAAUACGAGAGGUGAAUGGAAGGUUAUACAUUGAAGAAGUGUGAGUCGACCUUGAACUUGUGUUCAUGCCCAUGGACCCGAUGUGGAACUUAUCAUGGAAGCUUCUUGCAAAAUAUUUAAUCAUUUGGGUAAUUCUUUUGGUGUCAUUAAAUUGGAUCCCCUGCAGCUAUGGUUCCGACCAUAUUCUUCUUCUUUGAUCCCAUUUCUCGGACAAGUUGAAGUACUUGUCUUCUGUAGGUCAAUACAUCUAUCCAACCUCUAUUCUGCUCUACCUUCGAGUAUACCCUCAGGUAUCUCGAGAAUAUCACGGCUUCUUAUGAGUUCUUCAUCAACUAUUAUUCUCGCCGAUUCCAGUGCCCCGGGGUUAUGAGUUAAUAGUCAUUUGAGAACACCGAUAAGUGAAUCGAUUCAGCAUGCCGAUUCAAUAACUCUAUUCGUGGCUUAUGAGUUUAAUAAUCCUUCAAGUCAUUCCUAGCCUGAUUGGCUAUAUCAUUAUCGUGCUAAAUUUUAACCGUGCCACCCGUUCCUUAUUACCGGAGCACAUCUUUCGACAAUAAGCUAAGCUUACGUCGAUUUCCUUGUCUUAUCGUUUGACCUCGAACCACAAUUUGGAUUCUGAGUUUAUGACGUACCCUUGGUUCCAAUAACCCUUCGCUUCAUCAUUCCUUUGGCCUGAUGUCGUCGCUGAUUGAAUACAUCUUCAUGAAAUCUCUCGACAAAUGUGUCGUGAUCAUCAUCAACCUUAUGAGCUCUUCCAGGAUAUGAAUCGGAUUCAUGAUGAGAAAUACCAUCCUUGCCCUUGAUGAAUUGUGUUAUCAUCGGCCACUUUAUUGCCUUCCCUCCAACACAAACUUGUUUGUGUUUUGUGUUAUACCUUGAGUUCCUUGCUAUCCAGCAUUUGUUCUUCUUUACCUUGGAAUAUUACCACCUUUUAUGUCAAGAAUGUCAUGGAAAUUUUACCACCUCUUGAGAAUUCUUGAUACAAUUAAUACUUCUCACCAUCAGCAUUCCUUCUUGGCUCCGUGUUUUUCCAAUCGAAAAACCGACAAUUGAACUUGGAUGUGCGAAUUCAAAACUUCUAGCGGUCCUAUUGCUUUGAAGUUAAUGGUCGACAUUUCAUUCUUAGACCAUUGGUUAUCAAAUCACCAUUCUAAGCAUUGAUCGUACUACCUAAGCCCAUAUUUCGGGUGCACUUUUCAACCAAUGUUUAAUUGUCUAUGUUUUCCUCGAGCAUACCUCAUUAUAUCAUUUGAUCCGACAAAUGUUAUCUCCUUGUUCACAUAAUUGUGGAAAUCCAUCUUUUGGAAAUCCCAAUGAAUUGUCGCUGAGAUCAUCAGCCACCUCCUCGUCCUCUCCUUGGUUUAAUGAUGACGGACCCUUGUCUCAGAACUUGCUUCCUUGGUUCAAUUCCCGAGAAUCUUACAAUGUUGUCGUGACAAUUUGGGUUGCACCUUUCCUCUCAGGCAUCCUGAGUCUGAGUUAUCCUGACACCAAUCAGAUCUAAAUCUCGGUCAGAUAUGAUGGUUGGAACAUAUUUCCAAGAGUUAUAACAUCUUUACAUGACCGAGUAAGGUGAUGUCAUGCCUAGCACACCUGGCCGGAGCACCUAGUGUUAUAGUUUCCUUUUCUGCAAGGUUAUCCAUUCAUCCAUGAGGAAAUUGUAAGACUUAUUCUACAAGUUGUUCCUAAUGGAUCCUUCCUGCAUCCAAAGUCCGACCUUUGCUUGAAGACCAUGUCAAUGCUAUCUCGAAGCUUGUCUGUGGUACUCCGAUUUUCAACAAGAACAUUUGAAGCCCAAUGCUAAAUGUUUCUUGCCCAAUUAUCCAAACACCAUUGUAUGGAUAAUGGCAUGGAAUUUCUCUUCCUUUUCCUAAAGGGUUUUCUACGUUAUAUCCCUUCAUGGAUAUCAUGCUUUGCUUGCCCUUGGGAAGGAUAUACCCCUGAAAUAUGUGCUUAAACACAUUUUCCUUUCCAUUGUUUUGUUAAUCUGAUAAACACCUUUUCCUUUCCAUUGUUUUGUCUAACCUUUCUGGUGAUCAUUAUGAUCUAAGCAGUAUUAAUUCCCUGCUUAUGUUAACACCUCAGUGUACAAUUCUGUCAGUAAGACCCUGUUGCUUUUGUUGAUGACAUUCCGGUAACCACCGAUGGACGAGAACCUUGCCUAUUGGUCCGCCUCGUUCAAUGAGCAGGAAAAUGGUUCUCUUCGUCCCUCGCCCUAGGUACCAACGUUGUUGCCAACAAAACUGACAGGCUAUCCUCUAACAUACUUUGCUAUCUUGACCGUGCAAAUGUUAGCGCCUUCCUGCUUUUAACUCACAUGGUGGGCCCAUAACCCACAGUUCCACAUGAUCGAAACCUGACUUUCCUAUACACCCCCUGUUUCCAAAGUUAUUCCUCGCGCGUGGCCUCAUAUGUAAUUCACGAGCCACCUUCCAAGAUAUCAUCAAUUCUGGUAUCAGACACAAAACUUAUUCCCAUUGCUCUGGACCCCUUUUACACUUUGUUUCAGGCAUCGAACGAUUGCCUAUCCGCUUGAAACUUCUCAUGGUACCUUCUUACUUUGCUCUCGAUAUUUGCUGAAGUUUUAGAUCGAGAGUUACUUUCCGCCACCUUCCCCGAUGUUAGCUACCAGAUAGUCAACCUUGUAGAGGUCCGUUCUCCCGGAAUACCCACCCUUUAUUCUUCCGUAAGUACGAUGGAGUUCUCGAAGAAAGGAUGCCAACUUCAUCAUGAUGACCUGAAGCAGAUAAAUGAAGACAUCAACGUAAUGGAUCAACCUGUUCGAGAAGAGCAACCAAGACCUAGAAUAUUCGUUAGAAUUUCGUAACCAGAUCUUUCCCCCUUACUCCACCUCUUAAAAUCUCGGGGCGAGAUUUCUUGUAGUGGAGGAGAAUUGUGACGCCCGGGUAAUCAAGCUACAAUAACCUCUGCAAAUGAUGCCAUGUCACCUCGAUUACUGUUGAUUAAUCUCGCGUUAGUUUGAAACCGAUUCAAAAUUCAAAUUCAAAUUAAUGUCAACAAUAAAAGUUUUCAAAAGUUAAAACAAAAAAGUUCGGGAGGUGCCAUAUUUUGCAUAUGUAAAUAUGGUGCAAUAAACACAUUUUCAUAUUUUAUAGUGGAUGGAAACAACAAAGCAAUAAAUAAAAAGAAAAGGAAACAAAAAC
rnacentral:lncRNA from 1 species